rnacentral:tRNA from 1 species
GCACCAUUGGUCUAGUGGUAGAAUAGUACCCUGCCACUGUAUAGACCCAGGUUCGAUUCUUGGUUGGUGCA